rnacentral:rRNA from 1 species
CCUACGGGGGGCAGCAGUAGGGAAUAUUGCUCAAUGGGGGAAACCCUGAAGCAGCAACGCCGCGUGGAGGAUGAAGGUACAGAGUAUCGUAAACCUCUUUUGUCAGGGAACAAAGACUGGGACGCGUCCCCGGAUGAGUGUACCUGAAGAAAAAGCAUCGGCUAACUCCGUGCCAGCAGCCGCGGUAAUACGGAGGAUGCGAGCGUUAUCCGGAUUUAUUGGGUUAAAAGGGUGCGCAGGCGGUCUGUUAAGUCAGCGGUCAAAGCCCGGGGAUCAACCCCGACCCGCCGUUGAAACUGGCAGUCUCGAGUUGGAGAGAGGUAUGCGGAAUGCGCGGUGUAGCGGUGAAAUGCAUAGAUAUCGCGCAGAACUCCGAUUGCGAAGGCAGCAUGCCGGCUCCACACUGACGCUGAGGCACGAAAGCGUGGGUAUCGAACAGGAUUAGAUACCCGGGUAGUC